AUUGAACGCUGGCGGCAGGCCUAACACAUGCAAGUCGAACGAGUGGCGGACGGGUGAGUAAUGUCUGGGAACCUGCCUGAUGGAGGGGGAUAACUACUGGAAACGGUAGCUAAUACCGCAUACCAUCGGAUGUGCCCAGAUGGGAUUGGCUAGUAGGUGGGGUAAAGGCUCACCUAGGCGACGAUCCCUAGCUGGUCUGAGAGGAUGACCAGCAAAACGGGAAUGGAGACACGGUCCAGACCCCUAGGGGAGGCAGCAGUGGGGAAUAUUGCACAAUGGGCGCAAGCCUGAUGCAGCCAUGCCGCGUGGAGGAAGAAGGCUGUCGGGUUGUAAAGUACUUUCAGCGGGGAGGCGUUACCCGCAGAAGAAGCACCGGCUAACUCCGUGCCAGCAGCCGCGGUAAUUC
rnacentral:rRNA from 1 species